rnacentral:ncRNA from 1 species
AGGUGAGGUAGAGGCGCGAAAACCAUAAGUACCCCGCCGGAGGAAUGAGAAUCCGGAGAAAGCGGGAGAAAGGGGAAUUCGCCGAAAUGGCAGAACGAAUCUCAACGUCUGCUGUUGGGUCUGCAUUGAAUAGGUGCAGGACUGUCACCGGAUUAUCAUCCCAGAUAGCCGGUGGAGCACUAUCUCGCAC